UCCUCUACUUUGCAUGUACAUCUUAUAAACUUGGCACCGUAUAAUUGAGUUAAGUAUGAUCCCAGUUUUGGAGGUUGCAUUCAUUCAAAUUUAACACACGGUGCAAUGAGACAUUUAACAAUCAGUAACAUAUGAGGCAAAACCUGAUGUCUAUUCAUGUUUCAAUUCGAAAUACAAGUGUUCUUCUUUUAAAAGUUGAUUUGGCCAUUAAAAGGAAACUGCGGUUCAACUUCAUCAAUACAUCAAAAAUAUUUCUAUUCUUUGAGGGAUGCGAUGGUUUUUACUCUUAGGAAAAAAAUACAUAACACAUGUUCUUCAUCUAUGUUCUGUUCUUAUCAGUGUUUUCUUUUCUGUACUAAGUAUGGUUGUGUUAAUGAACUUGGCAGUCCAGAUGACCUUGGUUGGAAACUACUUUCAGUUUUCUUAGAAGUCUGCUUUCCCUGCUAUCCUCUCUCUCAGUUUUCUUAGCUAUCUUCUCUCUCAAUUUUCUUAGAAGUCUGAUUUCCCUGCUAUCCUCUCUCUGAAUAAAUUUCCUUUGCUUGAUCAGCUCACAUCUUUAUUUUAUAGUUUUUCCUGUUUCUAAUCAAUGUACAUAUAUAGAUACUAUGUUUGUCUUUUAUGCGACGACAAAAUUAAUAGCUUAGAUUUAAUUUGUGGUUGAUAAAAAUUUGGCAAAGGUGUCAUUCAUAGGUUAGUUAAAGAAAAGUAAAUAUUGAAAUCAUUAAUCUUUUUCUAUGCCUAACCUUACUUUGUUUCCACGCCUAGGUUGUAUACAUAACAUAUGAUGUUUAUGCGUAUUUACUAUUUAGGGCUUAACAGGUUUUGUUCAUAAAGCCUUAGUGCAUAUAUUUGUUGGUUUGACUGUUUUCUCUUAUACUUUGUGUUUUCUCAUCUCACCAUGCAUGUAUUGAUGGACCUGUACUUUUUUCUAUUUUGGAAAGACACUCAUGAUGAUGACGCCUGCCCAGAUGAGGAGGAAUGAAGAACCUCGAGCCUGAUGGGUUCCCCGCGAUGCUCUUCUACCCAGCUCGGAAGAAAAUCUUUGAGCGUGUUUGUUCUUAAAUAUAGUAUUUCACAUCCUAUUUAGGGAUAACUUUUGACAGGGACCGGCUGGUAGUGGAGAUAUCAAGUUCAUCAAGAGGCAUGCUGACAUCCUUCUGAGGUUGAAGUGCAAUGUUGCAAGAAAUACCAGCUGACAUGAUCCAAGGCCCUCUCUUACUAUGUGAUGGCUCCAGAAUACUCCUGCUGUCAUACCUUCGUGUUUUCUUUCUAAUAUCGUUUACUCAUGCUGCUCAUGUGAUACUAAUAUUAUUGCCCCUGGUCUCUCAUUGAUGUAUUUCUUUUAAGAAAAGCUUUUGGUAGCCAAGAUGCUGAUAUACCUGAGAUACAUAUUGCAUCCAUUUCCACAUUAGUAGUUAGACUUCAGUAAAAUGUCCAUUAUCUACUUUCUUCCAAUUUAAGCUAUAAUAUUUAAGAAUGACUUUACAUUUUUUUUAGAUUACAAACCAUUGAUGUUGGGGAACAAAGCGUGCAUAAUAAAUAAAUUCACGUGGUGGAAGGAAAACACAUGAUAUGUUGUCAGGGAUAUGCCAUGGAGAGACUCCUGAGGUGGCCACCGCAUCCUAGCAGCAACAGCCUAGGAUGGAGAUCCAUUUAGGUGGCCCUCGCCACUAUCGGCCUGUGAUGAAGAUCUGUGUAGACCACCUGUUCAAGCCACGGCAGCCUGUCAUGGAGCCACCCGUAGGUGGGCACGACAUCCCUACGAACGCGACUGGCAUAUGUUGGUGAAUACAAAAUUUAGAAGCAACUGAAUAGAAUACUGUUGGUGACCGUAAAUUUCUGAAAGGAAAUGAUUAGUUUUAGCAUUUGUUUUGGUCAACGCCAUUGCUGCCGCUGAUGUUGUCUUUGUAAUCAGAGGUGUUCUGUUCGUGAUCUUACUACAGUUUGGGUUAGUCUUCUGAUAUACGACUGGCAAUUUUUACACAUGGUACAUGCUACUUCGGCCCCAAAUUAAGCAGCUAGCAGCACACAUAAAUGAUGAACCAGCCAAUUGUAUGCUUAUGCACUUGACAGGG